UCACUCUUCCUUCCAACACUUCACUCCUCCCUCCAACACUUCACUCUUCACUUAGCUUCACCUCCCUCUUCUCCUCUGCAAGCUCUCUGUGGAGAUAGAUCUAAGAGUUCCCGAGAUCCAGUCGCUGUCGGAUCUUUCUAUCGAUGAGGUAAACUUCCUUCCUUGACCCGGGAUCUAGGCGAUUUCUUCGCCGCAAUGCACCUCUCUUGUGUUUUCCGUCGAGAUCCAAAGACCUACGAUUCUGGAUCUGCUACUUUUAUCUUCAGAUUCUUGCUUAAAGUUACUGUGUUUGAAUGAGUGGGAUUGGGUUUAGUUCGUUUGGAAGAGACCAGUAACUUGCUGUUCUUGAAACCCUAACUCCCAAGUUUAUAUACGAUGUCCCUUCCGCUCAAGAAAUAUUGACUGUAGCUGCACUCUUCAAUCUGAUCUCCCCCGCUCUUCGGAAACCUUAGGAUCGUUCUCGUCUGACCUCAAGUAGUAAGUCAAAAAGUUCCUGAAUUUUGUCCAUAAAUUGAACUGCUAUGACAUAGUGUUUCAAGGAAUCUAUCAGUAUCUAAGCUUCUACAAUAUCUAAGCAUCUGUGUCAGAAAAUUCAAUGAGUUUCAUCGUAUAAAACAAAGGCAAUCCUUUUUGCAUACUGUUUCUUGUUUUCUGCAGGUUAGCCUUGCAGCAAGGCAGCUAAGACAUGGAUUACUGAACAGAGACCCUGUUAAUCGUUUGGGAUCAAAAACUGGUGCCAAUGAAAUCAAGCAACAUUCCUUCUUCCAUGAAAUGAAUUGGCCUCUUAUUCGUUGCAUGACACCGCCUGAGUUAGAAGUUCCACUUCAGGUGACUGGAAGGGAACCUGAUUCCAAGGUGAAGGAUGCACAAUGGGCUGAUGAACAAAUGCCUAUUGAUUCUCUACAGAAUCUGUGAAGCAACAAACACAACUAGCUGACGAGAUUCAAGCCUACUCAAAGCUCUCAUAUCUCUCAAAUGAUUGCAUGGCGCUACUCCUGGAAGAGAUGGGUUUCGGACCUGGAUAAUUUUGAGGAAAAAAGGCAAACCAUCUUGUAUAGAAUAAGGAAGCAAUGGCCGUGCAAUGGUAAUCUCUGUAGAGUAAUAUUUGCAGUUAAUGUAAUUAAUUAAUGCUUCAGGAGAGAUUGAUUCCUAAAUUGUUGAAUGCAUGAGAUUUCAUAAA